AUCCAGUCUAACCUCACUUAGUGACGCUCAACUUUCCGUAGAUGUUCGUGUCUAUAAACAUCUAGUUCUGAAUAAUAAUGGCCCUAUUUAAUAUAUCUGGCUCAAAGGACUGGGAAGUGACCGGCGCCGCUCAAAAACUGUGCCAAAAUUUCAACGAGGGCCACGACCGCAAUUUUAUGCGCAAAUUCAAAAACAAUGGCAAAGUGAGCAAGUCCAGUUCGAAAAACAAGGACAAAAAGCUUAAGAAAAAACUCCUAAAAUCCGUCUCGUUAUUCAACAACGCAGAGCUACUAAAUGGAAAGGAGAGGCUACUCAAGGAAAUAAAAAAGAAAAUUACCUUGCAGAAUCAUCUGGCCGAUGAUAAAGUAGCAUUGAACAGUUCUAUAGAAAUUUCAAAUAAAAAAAUGAGAAAACGGAAAGUACGUUCGAAAAACCAUGUCAAUGUGCCCGAGUCCAGUAGCCAAGAAUUAGAGCAAUUGAGCGCCUCUAAACACACUGAAGCUGAGAGCUCUAAUAAAAUAUUGAAACAUAAGAAGAAAAGCAAAAAAAUAAAAAGUGCCAUCACAGAACCUUUAUUGCACGAGGACAUUGGAUCCAGUGACUCUCCUCAAAAUAGCUCUAUACAUCCACAGUUGUUAAAAAAACGCAAAAAACAGUUGGAAAAAUUGAAGGAACUUGUAUUGGAAAAAGCGCAAAAAUCGCGAAAAGUAGAAGAUUCCAAUUUGACGUUGAGGCAGCGCAUGAUGCGAAAACUGAAAGCUGCAAGAUUCAGAUUUUUAAACGAGCAAAUUUACAACACAACCGGGAAGGAAACGGAAAAAAUAUUUAGGAGCGAUCCGGAAGCCUUUAAGGCCUACCAUGAAGGCUACAAGCUGCAGUUGAAACGAUGGCCGAUGAAUCCUCUGGAUAAAAUCAUCAAAUCCCUCACUAAAAUGAACAAAACUAAUGUAAUUGCAGAUUUUGGAUGCGGUGAAGCAAGAUUAGCGCAAUCCGUUGAGCAUAAAGUGCAUUCUUUUGAUCUGGUCGCAGCCAAUGAUUUCGUAACUGCCUGUGAUAUGGCACAUGUACCUUUAGAUGAUUCUUCUGUAGAUGUAGCGGUAUUUUGUCUGUCCUUAAUGGGCACCAACUUAAAGGAAUACUUAUUAGAAGCCAAUAGAGUUCUGAAGAAAGGAGGUUUGCUUAAAAUAGCCGAGGUAGAGAGUCGCUUUGAAGAUGUGGACGCUUUUAUAAAAAAUUGCGAACAAUACGGCUUUAAGAAGACUUGGAUGGAUCUCUCGUAUAACUUAUUCUAUUUCAUCGACUUUAAAAAAGAGAGCAGUAGCAGGAAUAAAGCAAAGCUUCCAUCAUUAACUUUACAACCAUGCCUUUAUAAGAAAAGGAUAUCAAGGCCAUUUAGGCACGAGCAUUUCUUAUCAUCGUGCAUUAAGGUCAAGUGUUCUGCGACCCCCUAUGCUUUCAACCGGAAUCUAUUUACGCAGAACGAUAAGAAAAAACCAUCUGGUUGGACAGAAUGGGAAGGAAUGUUGAAAAGAUUUGUACCAUUGGGCGUAUGCCUUAUAGCGGUAAUGCAGUGGCGUGCUUACCGGCAAAAAGGAAAAGAGGGCACUGCGGCGAAACAGUGGGAGAUUAAUUGCUACUGCUUCUUACCACUGAGGACUAUGAGCAGAUGCUGGGGCUAUUUAGCUGACCAAAAACUACCGGAGUUUGCGAGACCAAUAGUCUACGGAGCCUAUUCGAAGACAUUCGGUGUAAAUCUCGCCGAGGCUCAAUAUGAAGAUCUGAAACACUAUUCUAGUUUAACCGAGUUUUUUACCAGAUCGUUGAAGGAAGGAGUGCGAGCAAUUGAUUACAAAAGUUCCCUGGUGUCACCGUGCGAUGGAACAGUAUUAAGUGUGGGAACUGUGAAUAACGGGCGCAUUGAACAAGUAAAGGGCGUUACGUACUACGUCCAAGACUUCUUAGGGGAAAAAGUAAGCAAUAGUAUUAGCCAAAAGGUUUCGAAACAGAGCCAUGAACAUUUGCUGCAUCGACCUCAUGAGGGAAAUACAUUGUAUCAAUGUGUGAUUUAUUUGGCCCCUGGGGACUAUCAUAGAUGUCCUGAGCCAAAAAUUGCUUCUGCCCAGGUUGCAUUGCUUUUACCUUACGAAGCGCCCUUCGUCUGUUGGAAAACAGGUGUCAACCUCGAGAAAAUCUCCCCUGCUUAGGCCAAAACAAUAGAUUCCAUUCGCCAGCUGAAUGGAAGCCGACGCAUCGAAGACACUUUUCCGGCGAACUGCUCUCGGUCAAUCCACGGAUCGCUCAAUGGCUGCCUGGAUUAUUUGUGCUCAAUGAAAGAGCGGUUUAUUUGGGCGAGUGGGAGCAUGGAUUCUUUUCCUACAGUGCUGUCGGAGCUACCAAUGUGGGUUCAAUUCGGGUAUUUUUCGAUAAAACUUUACAAACCAAUCAGAAAAAGAAGACCCACAAGUUCAAGGAGAUCUGCUUGGGAAGUUCCGUAGAUUUGCACAAAGGCGAUCUGGUCGGCGAGUUUCGCAUGGGAUCUACCAUCGUGAUAAUAUUCGAAGGGCCGGUUAAUUUCAAGUUUAAUGUGGCACCGGGCCAAAAAAUCUGGCUUGGACAGUCGCUGGGGACUGUUGAAAAGACCAAAGCAGCCGACAGGGCCCAGACGAGGACCAUCCACGCUGGCCAUUAAGUUUGAGCGUAUUUUAGGUAUUGGAUUUGUGAUAUUUUUAAUAAAUUUGUUUAGGAAA
rnacentral:misc_RNA from 1 species